rnacentral:rRNA from 1 species
AUUGAACGCUGGCAGCAUGCUUUACACAUGCAAGUCGAACGGUAACAGGCCGCAAGGUGCUGACGAGUGGCGAACGGGUGAGUAAUGCAUCGGAACGUGCCCAGUCGUGGGGGAUAACUACUCGAAAGAGUAGCUAAUACCGCAUACGAUCUAUGGAUGAAAGCGGGGGACCGUAAGGCCUCGCGCGAUUGGAGCGGCCGAUGUCAGAUUAGGUAGUUGGUGGGGUAAAGGCUCACCAAGCCAACGAUCUGUAGCUGGUCUGAGAGGACGACCAGCCACACUGGGACUGAGACACGGCCCAGACUCCUACGGGAGGCAGCAGUGGGGAAUUUUGGACAAUGGGCGCAAGCCUGUUCCAGCAAUGCCGCGUGCAGGAAGAAGGCCUUCGGGUUGUAAACUGCUUUUGUACGGAACGAAACGGCUCUGGUUAAUACCCGGGGCUAAUGACGGUACCGUAAGAAUAAGCACCGGCUAACUACGUG